rnacentral:rRNA from 1 species
UUUCUCGAAUCUAUGGGUGGUGGUGCAUGGCCGUUCUUAGUUCGUGGAGUGAUUUGUCUGGUUAAUUCCGAUAACGAACGAGACUCAAAUAUAUUAAAUAGAUGCUUUCAGGAUUAUGACGUUGAAGCUUAUAUANNNUUCUUUCAUGCGUGCAUCUUGAAUGUACAAUUGUUGAAUGUGUUUAUAUAAGUGGAGUCGUACCUGUUGGUUUGUCCCAUUAUAA